AUGAGGCAUCAGGAGGACAUGGGUCAGAGGCCUGAGCUGGACAGAGCAGGCUCCUGAGUCCCCCCCUCUCCACGGGGUCUCCCUGGUCCCCAGACCCGGACCUGCUCCCUCUAGAACAGCCCCGUGGAACAGUCCGUGUGGUUGACAUACUCUACUUCUGGGCUGUCCGCUCUGGUAACCACACGUGACUGCUGCCCUUGAAAUUUAAGUGAAAGAAACUGAAACGUCAGAUCGCCAGGGGCAGGAGCAGCGGGUCGCGGGGCGGCUCGGUGGUGCCACCAGGCUAAUGCCACCCUCACUGGGUGAUGGGCACCUGCAGCGUCCCCUUCCCGCGGGAGGUGGUGGGGGCAGCGCCGCUCUCCCCCGUCUUCCCCCCUCGCAGAGACGGACACCCGGUAGGAGGGCCCAGGCACAGGCAUCCUCAGCUCUGCCUUCCGUUUUCACAGCUCCCCUUGAUGCGGUGGAUCUGCUCUCCUGGGAGUGAAGACGCCAAGACCCGAUGUCCCGGAGCUGCCCGCCGAAGCCACGAGGUGAGCAGGCUCCACGUGGCCCGUGUGUUUCCUCCUUUCUGUGACUACAGGGGGCAGGGCCCAAACCUCGUCAACCCCUGGUGUCCAGCCUGUGCGUCCGAGCUGAAAUCGCCAGUGGUGGCUUUGGCUGCCAUCCUGACCGUGGCAAAGCCCUGAAAGCCUCGAAAGAUCCGUAGUUCAUCUCAAGGGAAAGUCUAUUUCUCAUUCAGGUAACAUUUCGGAAUGGGUGCUCGCACACCGGCAGCUGGAGCUCCUCCACGGGGUGACUAAUGUUCCCAGGAUUCUUCCACCUUUUUGGCUUUGGCAUCACCUAAGACCUUGGCGGACUUACUCUGCUACCAAAGUGGGGAAGGAGAAAGAGUGAAAAUGGCACACUCACUUCUUUUAGAGAAGAAUUCCGACGUGGCAUCUAUCCUGUCUGCUCUGGUUUAGCCGAGGAAGAUUAGUCAUGGGUCCACAGCUGGGUGCAAGAUAGACUGGGUCUAGCGCCCGGUGGGACAGUGUCCUCCCGUGAGGACACCACAUCAUAUAAAAGAAGCCAUGAAAGUUGGGUGCACAGUAGGCCAUGGCUGCUCCCAUGGGAGAUGCGCUAGGGGAAAAGAGGGCCGUGAUUCCGGGUAAAAGGAGGCAUGACCUUGAGUCCAGACCUCAGGGCAGGCUCGCCUGAUGAUGCUGAGACUCCGUGGGAGGGUGAGUGAGGAUUGAUGAAGUGUCCACACGGGAAAGCAGAGGAGACAGCUUUCAAGAAAACCUCGAGUCAGGAAAUAAUUUUGCCAAUUCUAAGGAGUCGAGAUGAUCCCGACAGCGUGGAGACGGGAAAGCAUUGAGGAGACGCUUCAAUAGGGACUGAAUGUGUAGGGCUUUGUAAAAGGCUCUGUAAAGAUUUGGGAUUUUAUCUUUAGGAGAACGGGAAAGGUUUUGCACAUAAGCCUGGCAAAAUCAGAUUUUUUUUUUUUGUCUACAUUGUAUUUAUAUGACCACUUCCUCCAGACGGAAUCAGAGGAGGCCUAAAAAUAACAGCUAGGAGUUCCCAUCCUGGCACAGCAAACUGAAUCCGACUAGGAACCAUGAGGUUGCAGGUUGGAUCCCUGG